CCAAUAGCGUAUAUUAAAGUUGUUGCAGUUAAAAAGCUCGUAGUUGAAUUUCGGGAUCAGUACGCUGGUCGUGCCUUGGUAUGUACUGGUGUUACUGGUUCCUACCUUCUGACGAACCGUCAUGUCAUUAAUUUGGUGUGGCGGGGAAUAAGGACUGUUACUUUGAAAAAAUUAGAGUGUUUAAAGCAGGCUCGCGCUUGAAUACAUUAGCAUGGAAUAAUGAAAUAGGACGUUUGAUCCUAUUUUGUUGGUUUCUAGGAUUGACGUAAUGAUUAAUAGGGAUAGUUGGGGGCAUUAGUAUUCAAUUGUCAGAGGUGAAAUUCUUGGAUUUAUUGAAGACUAACUACUGCGAAAGCAUUUGCCAAGGAUGUUUUCAUUAAUCAAGAACGAAAGUUAGGGGAUCGAAGACGAUCAGAUACCGUCGUAGUCUUAACCAUAAACUAUGCCGACUAGGGAUCGGAUGAUGUUAAUUUUUUAAUGACUCAUUCGGCGCCUUACG
rnacentral:rRNA from 1 species